rnacentral:rRNA from 1 species
GAUGAACGCUGGCGGCGUGCCUAAUACAUGCAAGUCGAGCGAACAGACGAGGAGCUUGCUCCUCUGACGUUAGCGGCGGACGGGUGAGUAACACGUGGAUAACCUACCUAUAAGACUGGGAUAACUUCGGGAAACCGGAGCUAAUACCGGAUAAUAUAUUGAACCGCAUGGUUCAAUAGUGAAAGACGGUUUUGCUGUCACUUAUAGAUGGAUCCGCGCCGCAUUAGCUAGUUGGUAAGGUAACGGCUUACCAAGGCAACGAUGCGUAGCCGACCUGAGAGGGGGAUCGGCCACCCUGGAGCUGGGCCACGGUCCAGACUCCUGCGGGAGGCCGCAGUAGGGAAUCUUCCGCAAUGGGCGAAAGCUUUACGGAGCAACGCCGCGUGAGUUAUGACGGUCUUCGGAUCGUAAAACUCUGUUAUUAGGGAAGAACAAAUGUGUAAGUAACUAUGCACGUCUUGACGGUACCUAAUCAGAAAGCCACGGCUAACUACGUG